ACACCCCGCUUAAAGUCCACGGUGGACUAGUUCCACUUCCACCAUCUUCUUCCUCGCUCCCCCUCAGCCCUCACCACCGUGGCACCUUUCCACCUCUGCAUCCAGCCCGCCGUCUCUGGACGGCAACGCGACCGGCGAGGUGAGCCGAAGAGGUGGACCUGCAUCGCGAUUCGUGGACGCGCGUCAUUGCCUGUCUGCCCGUCUCUGAUCGUCUGUGGUUGCUUGCUAGGUAGGGGACUUCUCUAGGGCUCGAUGGCGGCUACGCCGGCGAGGGCUCGGGCCGACUACGACUAUCUCAUCAAGCUCCUCCUCAUCGGCGACAGCGGUCAGCCCCACCAUCCCCUCUCGCUCUCUGGACCUGCGCCAGAUCUGUGCCAAAAUUUGUUCCGGCUGGGCGGGGUUGUCGCUCUGCGUCUGGCCGUUUGGGUAUCUUGGAGGGGCUUCGGGGGUGUAGAUCGCCAUCCGGGUUUGUCGACUGACGCGGUGCUUUCGCGCUGAAAAUCGUGCCGUUUCGUCUGAGUUUCUGUGUAGCAAUUACGUGGCGACGGGUGAAUUGGAUAGUACUACUACGUUUAACCGUUGUAUUCGUAUCCUCCUCGUCUCGACGGCUCGACCUCGAGACCGAGUCAACACGGAGUUUCCCAGUCUCCCUCCCGUCUGUCCCGGUCCCAGGCCCGCCGGAGGCAGACGCCGUCCACGGGAUCCAGCGGCAGUCCCUCGGCUAGUAAGGUAACCACUCUCCCUCUUCCUGCUUCCCUCUCUCUGUCCCUCGGCUCCCUGGUCCAACCGUCCAGGAUAGAGCCGACGACGGCGUCACGGCUUGCGGCGCCGGCGGCCCCGACGCUCCUAGCCGCCUCCCCCGCCGACUAAGCUCUCCCACUGGCUCUGACCUCUUUGUCUCUCCACCUCCUGCAAGCAAUGGACUCGUCAAAGAAGAAACAAGGGCGGCAUCCUCUGCGAAGGUUUCGUCGAACUCGCGGUCGGAUUCUCCAUCGACGGUAACAAAGCCGCCACCACGAGCCCAAGGCACUAGAGCUGGACACCCUGUACCUGCACGGGCUCAAAGACGUAGCAAGUACAUCGACGACCGAGAAGGGCAAGAAGAUGCAAAUACAAUUUAGGAGGGUGUUGACGACGCUGAUGCCGAUUCGGACGAAUGGAUGGAGGUAGAAGAUGAUGAUGAGGCAGAGAACGAUAUGAGCGACGAGAUGCCUGAUCCUUCUUUUGGCCAGGAUAACAAAGAAGACGAUGAUGAUGAUGUUGUUGAGGUCACUAAAACUCAGAUGUAAGGACAAAAGCUACUGCGGGGAAAAGGAAGAAGAAGAAUGGGCUUGCUGUUGCAAAGAAGAACCAAAGCCAAGCGUGCAGAAUGCUGGAAGUGUUUUAAGCUGGUUAAAGCUGUAUUUAAGAGGAAACCAAAUGAAAUUGUUUAGAAGGCAAAAUGCUUAGGCUGCUUUAAAUUGUUUUGUUAUCAAGGAGGGACAACAAGCUUGAAGAGGCAUAGAGAUUCUUGUUAUCAGCUCCAGAACAAGAAGGCGCGAGCACCUCGUCAAGGGACAAUUGGGUUUGAUCCAGAAAAACCAUGUGCCUCUCUCAUUGUUAAUCAUGAGACGAUCAUGCUGAAUGCAAGAUGAUAAUUGUAAAGAUGAUGUGCAUGGAUAUCCUUUUAUGAUGGUAGAACAUGCAUGGUUUAAUAUACUCAUGAAAUAUAUGAAUGCAAAAAUCAAAAUGUGUACAAAAGAUUAUGAUCCCUUGGUGGUAUGACUUGUGAGUUGAUGAGUACUUUCAGUCAGAUAUCUCUA